rnacentral:rRNA from 1 species
UACGUAGGGUGCGAGCGUUGUCCGGAAUUAUUGGGCGUAAAGGGCUCGUAGGCGGUCUGUCACGUCGGGAGUGAAAACUCGGGGCUCAACCCCGAGCCUGCUUCCGAUACGGGCAGACUAGAGGUAUGCAGGGGAGAAUGGAAUUCCUGGUGUAGCGGUGAAAUGCGCAGAUAUCGGGAGGAACACCAAUGGCGAAGGCAGCUUGCUGGGACGGUACUGACGCUGAGGCGCGAAAGCGUGGGGAGCAAACAGG